rnacentral:rRNA from 1 species
AAAUUGAAGAGUUUGAUCAUGGCUCAGAUUGAACGCUGGCGGCAGGCCUAACACAUGCAAGUCGAACGGUAACAGAAAGCAGCUUGCUGCUUUGCUGACGAGUGGCGGACGGGUGAGUAAUGUCUGGGAAACUGCCCGAUGGAGGGGGAUAACUACUGGAAACGGUAGCUAAUACCGCAUAACGUCGCAAGACCAAAGAGGGGGACCUUAGGGCCUCUUGCCAUCGG